rnacentral:rRNA from 1 species
AUGCGACCGAUCCCAAUUACAGUUGGCUGGAGCCAUACCAAGAGUUUGAGGAUUUCUCGCAAUAUUCGGAAGAAAACCUCCUCGAUGACUGCUCGUCAGAAGAAAUCUGACAACAUUGUGGUUUCUCCUAAAGUUGGAAUUAUCACUCGCGGCAGAAUGUCAAACGUAAAUGAUAUGGCUUCCUUGGAAACAAAUCACACUACGGUUCCAAGAGGACAUUGUGUGACACCUACCUUCGAAAUAACCGUGCAGUCGGACGAGGGGCUUAAUCUUUCUGUGGAUCUAAAUUCCACUCCAUCAGAGUACACUAAAAUAUAUUCACAACAACUUGGGGAUGUUUCUAGAGAGGCUCAACUUGAAGCUCCAACAGAAAAUGCAGAGGUAGAAGAUAUGGCUGUGGAAGACAAUAUAGGUUGUGGUGACAUGUUACCACCAGUUUCUAGAGGGGCAGAAUUUAAAGCCCAGGUAGAAAAUGAAGAGAGGGAAGAAGUUUUGAUGGAAGAAGAAAUAGGUUGUGCUGACAAGUUGAUAGUUACUGAAGGGACCCAACUUACACUUAGCAGGGACAAACAUGAAUCACCUGUGAAAACUGAACUAGUGGCUCAAGAAGUAGUAAUGCAAGAAGAUAUAGGUUGCGAUGAUAAUUUGCCAGGUUCAAACCAAGUGCUGAUCUCACAUGCCAAUCAAGAUGCUGGCUUUACAAAUCAUUCCCUUGACGAGGUCUUGAACCACACAAGCUCAACGCUACCAUCUAUUGGUUCGGCACCACGUGUUGAUGUUGAAAUGAAGGAUGGUGCAUUGGAACGCCAAAUCAUGGGAGCGCCUAAGUCAGGUGGCGUGGCUGAGAAUAGCAAUGAUCAGAUUCGUGAUUCCGUGGUAGAGAUUAAGAAAAUACGGGAUUCUAUUCUUCGUAAGGAAUUCAUACUUCAAGAUGGAAGUGCUCAAUGUGAUAUGGACAUUCAUAAAAUUAAGAUGGACAUUCAGAAAAUUAAGACUGAAAAGAAGAUGACAAAAGAAGUGUUGUCAACAAUGGAGAAAUAUAAGGAACCUAGCUCAAAUAUAAUGAAAGUUGCCAAUCUAACUUUCUCUGGCGAUGAUGGGAAAACCAAGAGCACUAAGAGAAUGGAAUUGAAAUUUAAGGAGGCACUCGCACAACGCGAUAAAUGCAUGGAGCUUAAUGAUAUCUGCUGUGAUUGCGAUUGGAUGGCCCCUAGAUACACAGUACUACCUUCACUAGCAGAUGGAAUGCACGUCGGCGAAGUGCGUUUGAAAUGCCCUGAUUUUGAGUUGAGCAUCACUAGCGAUCCUUGUCCAACCCCACAUGAUGCGAGGUGCUCUGCAGCUGCCAAUAUGAUAUUGGAGCUUGGCAAGAAGGUGGAGGACAAAGAACAUCAUGCUAACUGA